rnacentral:rRNA from 1 species
GACGAACGCUGGCGGCGUGCUUAACACAUGCAAGUCGAGCGGCGCGGCGAACGGGUGAGUAACGCGUGAGUAACUGCCCCCCUCUCUGGGAUAACGGUUGGAAACGGCUGCUAAUACCGGAUAGUUGGGGAUGACUCGCGUCCUAUCAGCUUGUUGGUGGGGUAGUGGCCUACCAAGCCGACGACGGGUAGCCGGCCUGAGAGGGCGACCGGCCACAUUGGGCUGAGAUACGGCCCAAACUCCUACGGGAGGCAGCAGUGGGGAAUAUUGCACAAUGGGGGAACCCGUGAUGCAGCAACGCGCGUGCGGGAUGACGUCUUUCGGGUGGUAAACCGCUUGCAGCCAUGACGCGGUAGUGGCAGAAGAAGCACCGGCUAACUACGUGCCAGCAGCCGCGGUAAUUC